UAACGUAGGGUGCGAGGCGUUAAUCGGAAUUACUGGGCGUAAAGGCGUGACGCAGGCGGUGAGUGUAAGACAGAUGUGAAAUCCCCGGGCUCAACCUGGGAACUGCAUUUGUGACUGCAUCGCUGGAGUGCGGCAGAGGGGGAUGGAAUUCCGCGUGUAGCAGUGAAAUGCGUAGAUAUGCGGAGGAACACCGAUGGCGAAGGCAAUCCCUGGGCCUGCACUGACGCUCGAGUGCACGAAAGCGUGGGGAGCAAACAGGAUUGAGAACCCU
rnacentral:rRNA from 1 species